AUCUUCUUCUUCUCCUCCCCAUGGCUUUGAGUCUUUGACUACGUACUUCUUUGUUUUCAACGAUAAGUUCUCUUUUUUUGUUGUGUGUCUAAAAUCAAUAGUUUGUAAAUUCUCUAGAGCAUUUAUUGAAGAAUAUCUAAUCCAUGGUGAAAUUUUCGCAGAGACGACGAUGCCAUGGGCGUACACAUCUUUAAAGAAGAUCCUUUCUAUAAUCCUUAAUCUUCUUCGUAUUUUAGAAUAAAACCGACAUGUGAUGAUGAAUUGAUGAUAGUUAUGGUUGAACGACCUCCAGCAGAAAGAUGACAAAUAAAAAAAACUAAUUUGGGGUUGCUAUUCAUUGUGUCAAGUAAGAGCGAUUCCCGUAAGCCAUAUUUCGUCCCAGACCGUGAUAUUUAACGAAAUCAUUAUGUACUAUGUAGGUAAGGAGAGGAAGGAUGUGAAAGAGAAGGAGGUGAAAAAUCUGGGGCUGCAAUAAUCGACGGUGGAAAUGCUGCUCAUCACGGAUUCUUCUCCGGAACAUCGACGCCCAUGAUUA